UGUGAAUUGCAGAAUCCCGCGAACCAUCGAGUCUUUGAACGCAAGUUGCGCCCGAAGCCGUCAGGCCGAGGGCACGCCUGCCUGGGCGUCUCGCAACGCGUCGCCCCCCAACCCCCGCGCUGGGUGGGCGGACAUUGGCCCCCCGCGAGCUGCGUCUCGCGGUCGGUCUAAAAACCGAGUCGCCGGCGACGGACGGCACGGCGAGCGGUGGAUUACGACGCGCGCCCCUGACAGGGUGCGCCCUGCGCCGUGCCGCGCCCGUCGCCACGGGCGGCCUCGCGACCUCGAAGAGCAUCGAUCGCGACCCCAGGUCAGGCGGGAUCACCCGCUGAGUUUAAGCAUA
rnacentral:rRNA from 1 species